ACCACUGAGCCACCUUCCCAGCCCCUCAAAUAUUUCUCAAAGAAUCUUUAUAGGGCUGGGAAGGUGGCUCAGUGGU
rfam:Dipodomys ordii contig_30359, whole genome shotgun sequence.